rnacentral:lncRNA from 1 species
CAACAAUUUCAGUGGCCAUGGCUAGGUUUUGCCUUCUAAUUGUAUGCUUUCUCUUCCCAGCUCCACCCAGCAUGUGCAUGUGAAGCCAACCAUAUCUAAAGCUAUGGCAAGGAAACUACAUGGGUGUGGUCCCAGCUAAGCCCAGCCACAUCUCUGCAGGGUUCUGACUGCUCUGGGAGGAGGAAAGCAUGAAACAGGAACAACAGUUCUGUGUCCUUUGCAUGAGUAACAGAUGUUUUGAAAGAGCUGCAAGAGACCAAGGGAACCCUUAUCUAAUCUGCAUAUGAUGUUCGCAAAGGGCCUGCUGGAAGAUCCAAGUCCAGUCUGCACUCAUGAAGCACCUGCUCUGCAGACAGAGAUUACACCUCUUAAUCAUAUACAGUGAAAACUCAUUAGCUGAGAAACUAUUGGCUUUUAUUCUGCCAUUGAGAAAGAACUUGCACUUGGUGUCUCUCACACCUAUUGCAGCAGUGACAGGAGUACGCUUUCCUGUACCUUAA